UGGGGAAUAUUGCGCAAUGGGCGAAAGCCUGACGCAGCGACGCCGCGUGUGGGAUGACGGCCUUCGGGUUGUAAACCACUGUCGGGAGGGACGAAUGCCCGCAAGGGAGUGACGGUACCUCCAAAGGAAGCACCGGCUAACUCCGUGCCAGCAGCCGCGGUAAUACGGAGGGUGCGAGCGUUGUCCGGAAUCACUGGGCGUAAAGGGCGCGUAGGCGGCCUGAUAAGUAGGGGUGGAAUCAUCGGCUUGAACCGCAGGGCGUGCCUUCUAAACAUGUCGGGCUAGAGCACGGUAGAGGCAGAUGGAAUUCCCGGUGUAGCGGUGGAAUGCGUAGAGAUCGGGAAGAACAUCAGUGGCGAAGGCGGUCUGCUGGGCCGUUGCUGACGCUGAGGCGCGACAGCGUGGGGAGCAAAACAGGAUUAGAUACC
rnacentral:rRNA from 1 species